AGAGUUUGAUCAUGGCUCAGNANNAACGCUGGCGGCGUGCCUAACACAUGCAAGUCGCGCGAGAAAAGGGGGGCAACUCCCUGAGUAAAGCGGCGCACGGGUGAGUAACACGUAGGUAAUCUACCCUCGAGUCCAGGAUAACCCGCCGAAAGGUGGGCUAAUACCGGAUAUGACCACGGGAGUUUCGGCUCCUGCGGUGAAAGGUGGCCUCUGCUUGCAAGCUACUGCUCGGAGAUGAGCCUGCGGGCCAUUAGCUAGUUGGUGAGGUAACGGCUCACCAAGGCGAUGAUGGCUAGCUGGUCUGAGAGGAUGGCCAGCCACACUGGGACUGAAACACGGCCCAGACUCCUACGGGAGGCAGCAGUGGGGGAUAUUGCGCAAUGGGCGAAAGCCUGACGCAGCGACGCCGCGUGGGUGAUGAAGGCCUUCGGGUCGUAAAGCCCUGUCGAGGGGAACGAAACGGUCUCGACCUAACACGUCGAGUCCCUGACGGUACCCCUAAAGGAAGCACCGGCUAACUCCGUGCCAGCAGCCGCGGUAAUACGAAGGGUGCAAGCGUUGUUCGGAAUCACUGGGCGUAAAGGGCGUGUAGGCGGUCCGCUAAGUCUGAUGUGAAAGCCCGGGGCUCACCCCCGGAAGGGCAUUGGAAACUGGCGGACUCGAGUCCCGGAGAGGAAGGUGGAAUUCCUGGUGUAGCGGUGAAAUGCGUANNUA
rnacentral:rRNA from 1 species